UACGUAGGGACCAAGCGUUGUUCGGAUUUUCUGGGCGUAAAGGGCGCGUAGGCGGCUUAACAAGUCACUUGUGAAAUCUCCGGGCUUAACUCGGAACGGCCAAGUGAAACUGUCAAGCUAGAGUGCAGAAGGGGCAAUCGGAAUUCUUGGUGUAGCGGUGAAAUGCGUAGAUAUCAAGAGGAACACCUGAGGUGAAGACGGGUUGCUGGGCUGACACUGACGCUGAGGCGCGAAAGCCAGGGGAGCAAACGGG
rnacentral:rRNA from 1 species